rnacentral:rRNA from 1 species
GAUGAACGCUGGCGGCGUGCCUAAUACAUGCAAGUCGAGCGAACAGAUGAGGAGCUUGCUCCUCUGACGUUAGCGGCGGACGCGUGAGUAACACGUUGAUAACCUACCUAUAAGACUGGGAUAACUUCGGGAAACCGGAGCUAAUACCGGAUAAUAUAUUGAACCGCAUGGUUCAAUAGUGAAAGACGGUUUUGCUGUCACUUAUAGAUGGAUCCGCGCCGCAUUAGCUAGUUGGUAAGGUAACGGCUUACCAAGGCAACGAUGCGUAGCCGACCUGAGAGGGUGAUCGGCCACACUGGAACUGAGACACGGUCCAGACUCCUACGGGAGGCAGCAGUAGGGAAUCUUCCGCAAUGGGCGAAAGCCUGACGGAGAAACGCCGCGUGAGUGAUGAAGGUCUUCGGAUCGUAAAACUCUGUUAUUAGGGAAGAACAAAUGUGUAAGUAACUAUGCACGUCUUGACGGUACCUAAUCAGAAAGCCACGGCUAACUACGUG